rnacentral:rRNA from 1 species
AGUCACUGACAUUAGAUAUCCGCGUAGUCCAGGGUGUAAACGCUGCAGACUUGGUGUUGGAGGCCCUUUGGGGGCAUUCAGUGCCGGAGAGAAGUUGUUAAGUCUGCUACUUGGGAGUACGUCCGCAAGGAUGAAACUUAAAGGAAUUGGCGGGGAGCACCGCAACGGGAGGAGCGUGCGGUUUAAUUGGAUUCAGCACCGUAAACUCACCAGGGAAGACUGUUACAUGAAGGCCGAGAUGAAGACUCUGCUAGAUUUUCAG